CACGUAGGGCGCAAGCGUUGUCCGGAAUUAUUGGGCGUAAAGAGCUCGUAGGCGGACUGUCACGUCUGCUGUGAAAAGCUAGGGCUUAACCCUGGCCUUGCAGUGGAUACGGGCAGACUAGAGGUAGGUAGGGGAGAAUGGAAUUCCCGGUGUAGCGGUGAAAUGCGCAGAUAUCAGGAAGAACACCCGUGGCGAAGGCGGCUCUCUGGUACGUGACUGACGCUGAGACGCGAAAGCGUGGGGAGCGAACAGG
rnacentral:rRNA from 1 species